rnacentral:rRNA from 1 species
AGCAGCCGCGGUAAUUCCAGCUCCAAUAGCGUAUAUUAAAGUUGUGGCAGUUAAAAAGCUCGUAGUUGAAUUUCGGGAUCAAGGGAUCGGUCAUGCCUCGGUAUGUACUGGUCUUAUUGGUUCUCACCUUCUAAGGAACCAUGAUGUCAUUCAUUUGAUGUUGUGGGGAAUUAGGACUGUUACCUUGAAAAAUUAGAGUGUUUAAAGCAGGCUUACGCUUGAAUACAUUAGCAUGGAAUAAUGAAAUAGGACAUCGGAUUCUAUUUUGUUGGUUUCUAGGAUCGAUGUAAUGAUUAAUAGGGAUAGUUGGGGGCAUUAGUAUUCAAUUGUCAGAGGUGAAAUUCUUGGAUUUAUUGAAGACUAACUACUGCGAAAGCAUUUGCCAAGGAUGUUUUCAUUAAUCAAGAACGAAAGUUAGGGGAUCGAAGACGAUCAGAUACCGUCGUAGUC